AAUUGUUUGGGCUUAUAAUAGAUUCUAAUCAUCAGACACUGGUUCGAAGGACAUCCAUCGCUAGUACAACUCCACUUAAUAGCGUCGGGCACAUGAAAGGAGAUAAGGAAUGAUUUGUGAACGAGAUUGAGUCUGGUCGAAUCGAGUUGUAGAAUUACUUUGACGAGUUGUCGCUCAGGUGGGAGACCGAGUCAAAGAAGAGUCAGACCUCGAAGGAGAGUCAGAGUUACUCUAUGGAGGUUUAACUCUAGUUUCUCCAGGUCCAAUUGUUGAUACUGUUGUUAUGAAUCCUCUGUUCGGAACCGGGAAAAAGGGGGCUGAUAUGGACUUUCUCUUUGCGACUUUGAAGAAUUUAAAAAAUGUAGGAACCUUUGGCAAUACAACUAAAGGAUUUGAAGACCUAGCUCUAGGUUAUCAUAAUGGACUGCCAUAUGAAUAUUUGAGGGAAAGAUAUUAGAUGUAUUUCCUAAUUACAGAAAAGAAGCAGAAGACCACCUGUCAAAAGCUGUGAAGUUGAAUCCAUCUCUGGCAGUUGCUUGGCUCUGCUUAGGUAACUGCAUUUGGAAAAAUGGAGAUCUACCUUCAGCAAAAAACUGCUCACUUGCACUAAGCAAGGUUAUGUUUUUGAGUUCUGAUAUAUUUCCAUUGUUUCUCCAAUUUCAACAGUGAUGUGUGUUUUUAUUUCAUCUGUGUAUAUUCAACUACCAAUAAGUUUAUAUCUAAUGUAGGGUCCAAACAAAAAGAUACUUUAUCAAUUAUCUAUGCUAGAAAGAAGAAUGGCUCAAUGCAAGGAUCUUAGUUCAGUGUUAUUUUUCUGUUUUCUCUUGGUUCCUCUUGAAUAUAAUCUUCCAUAUUUAUUAAAAGACAAGAAGUUAUUAUUCUGUUUUCUCUUAUGGUUACAUUAUACUUGGGUUCUUGGUUCUUUGGGAGAUAAUUUAUGAAGUGCUCUCUAUUUUAGAUCUAGAAUGUUUGGGCCAUUUAUUUACAGUGAGUUUAUUUAGGAGAUUAAUGAAUCUAUUUUAGUUAAUAAUAAUGUUGUAACUUACGUUGCUUGUACCUAUCAUCGUAUUCUUGUUCCAAAAACAUUUACUGGUUUUUUUUGCUGUCUCAAAAGGAAGAAGGAAAGAGAAAACAUUCACCAUUCUAUCUAUUUUUUGAUUUUGAGCUUCUUGAGUUCUGAAUCCUUCUGUUUGUUUUUUUGCCACUAGUUUCAUUGAUGUCUUUUAAUCUAGUACCUUUGUUGUGGUGUUGAUGGAAGCAACAGGCCUAGAGAUGGUGAAUUUUGUUAGAAUUUUUGUGUUCUUGACUAACUUUUUUGCCCUUGUAUUGCCAACUAUAUUUGCUAAAGACAAUUUGGUAAUCAUCAAAUUUAACUGGUCUAGAAACUUUGGGAGUACAAAGAAUAACUCCCUUGCUUGCCCAAAGAAAAAAAGAGAAGCAUGAUAGAUGGAGAUAAAAGAAAAAAGAUUAUUUAUGAUUUUUAUAUUAGGUGAGUAUUCUUGUAAAAAUGUAAAUAGGGCAUAUUUUCUAGUCAGUCAAAGGAAGGUAAAAUAUAUAAGAGAAAAUUCAGAUUGGUUUAUCAUUUCAAAUCAGAAAGUAGCCUCCUUCUCAUGCUAUUUGUGGUCUCUAAUUUUCAACUUUUGGUUUGCUAAGGCUUGUAUAAAGUGUAAAUAUAAAAAUAAUUUGGAGAUCUAAUCACAACAAAUGGAAGCAUUGCAGAGCUCACUCUUUUUUCGAGUCAAAGGCUAUGCAUCAAUCAUAAUAUAAAUGCAUUUAUCUACUUUCCUAAUUCUUUGUUAUCUUUGAAGGUACUGAUAAUCAGCCAGAGAUUGCUGAGGAAAGGAUCAAACAUGCAAAGGAAGUUAUAAUGUUGGAUGUGAAAGAUAGGAAUUCUUGGUGUAAGGCUUCGUAUCAGAUCUAAGCUAAAACAGUAAUUUGAAUUUUUUUGGCUACUUUGAAUUGGGAAUGUGUGGAUUGCAAUUGGGUGGGUUUGAAUGAUUUUUGGUAAGGGGUUUUAGUAAAGGGUUUGAUGAUAUUAGUGGUUCAAAGCUAGGAUCUUAGUGUGCAACUUCAAGACUAGCUGUGUUACAUGGCAUUUUUCAGAAAAUUUGAACUUGUAGGUUUUUCUCGAAAAUUAGUGUGUUGCAUAUUUUUCCUCUGUUAGAAUAAGAAACUUUAUACUUAUUGUGGAGUGCUAUAACAAAAUUAUGAAAGGUUUAGACAGUGGCAACUGUGGUUGAUUAUGAAUUGUGUAAUCUAUUUUUCCUUGCAAGCAGGAGUAAUCAUGGGUGAGCAUAGUUUUUUUUUUAUGUAAUCUAGAGAUAAUUUGUUGUGACAUGCUUCUUUAAACUUUACCCUCUUGGUUCAAAUUAUGGGUCAAUGCAAAUCUUAUUUAAUCUAGAGAAUUAACAUGUACUUCAUGGUAAUAAGAAAUGACUGUCAUAUAAAUGCCAAGGCUUUUAGAACUAUAAAAUAUAUAUUACUUUGUUUUUACAUUGUACCAAAAUGGGCAUUUUUUUACUCUUUUGUGGCAAAGGAUUUGAAAUUGUGGGUUUCUACAAGAAGAGAAAAGAAAAGGAAUUUACGGCUUCUUAGGUUGGCUUCUUAGGUUAAGCUCUACCUUAUGCUGUCUUUGUUGCUUUAGUUCAUUGGAGUUAAUUUUUUUAUUUUCAUUGUUUCUUAUUUACCUACAUUCCUUUGUUUUUUUAGCAAUCUAGUUUUUGUCAUCAACCCCAUAUGGUGGCUGCUAUAGCAGUUACGAAUUAUCAUGGAGGCAGGUAAAAUAUUUUUAUUUGAUUUCGAAUAUGUACUCUAUUGUAGCUGUUGGUUAGUAUUUUUGGACUAAAAGAUGUUUGUUUUUAAAUUAAAAGACUUGCUGAUAGUUCUUUGUAAGCCUAAUGCCCUUAAUUGAUGUUGUUGUUAUUAAAUGGUUUCGUCUAGUUUAUUUAGUUGAUUAGGUGCAUAAUUAAGUUUGUUCUUUUAAAAAAGUUUAUUGUGUAUUGAAAAAUGGAUUUAUUUGCUUUAGUUUAUAACUAAGAAAAAGUUACGUUCGGCAUGUGAUUGGCUUAUAUGACAUUGCUUUUAUGGGGCCAUUGAAUUAUCUUAUUAAUUUUGGAAAUGUUUUGUUGAUAUUUUAAAAUUUCUUGAUCAUUUCUUAAUACCUCAAGAAAUAUUUUUAUCCUUGAGUCAUCGGUUUUUGGACUUAAAAUGAAGUUUCCUUUGUCAUGCAGACAAGAAAUGCAACAGGGUUAGUUGCUCCAGCUAUUGUCACGGGUUUAGGUGCCUUAACACAUACAUUGGGCACCCUCGUCCCUGUGAUAGAAGCAAGUGGAUUUGCUGCAUCUGCAACAACAACUGUUAUAGGAACUGUUGUCAGUAGUUUUAGAUAAUCUCUUAAUAGUUGUCAAUAUGUUUAGAAAGUUAGAUAUGCAUAGUUUUGGAUGGUUUAAACUUUUUGUACAAUUUAGAACUUAA